UGUGCCGCUUUUAUGUACAAGCUAUAUAAUUUUCUUUCAGGCGAUCACUGACGACUUAAAUCGAUGACGUCUAUGGCCUGCGCUGAACAUCAUCACCACCAUGAGGUGGGCACAUGACCAAUAUAUUCAUAGUUGGACAGUAUUUCCCAUCCCAUACAUGAAGCUAGUAAAGACAUGGAGAGACACAGUCUUCACUAUAUUUGCCAGGUCAUCAUAAAGCUCCCACACACAUGGAGCUCUUCGGCAGUAUGCAGUGUAAUGUCCCAGACCAUCUUUAGUCAAGCUUCCCUUGAAAGCGAUGACUCCUCUCAAAGAGAAUGUCUUUCCUUGGAGAGCAACAGUGGGGGGAAAUUCACUCAAAGGAAACUAAGUUGUGUUUGCAAGUGGGCGAAGGCAGGGAGACUCCGGAAGGAAGAGUCCAUUUUCCACUGAAAUGUCAAGCUGAGCCAUGCCACAGUCCAUCAGCACAGAAAUGUCAGCAGAAACAAAUGGUACUUCCCUUGUUGUUCCUUUGUUUAGCUGGCAGAACUGUGAAGAGCAGUGUUUUGAGAUGUAAACGCUGGAUAUAUUUCUCAUUGUUUUUCCAAUGACCGUGGAGAUAUUGCACUGGGCAUCGAUUUGAUGGGCACCAGACCUCAACUGGAUUUUUUCAAACAUUGCACUAAGCAGCUCUGCCCUCUGUGAAUAGAUCUUUGGGGUCACACCAUCUGUUGCAAUGGCUUUUACCAGCAGCAAGAUGGGGUUGUCACUGUUGUUCCUGACAACAUUUUGAAAUGCUGAGCUGUCACAGAAAGCACAGCAUAAGCACUGACAAAACGCAUCAAAUGCACAUGUGUUCAGAACAGAGAUUGUUGAUUUCCCAACUCUAAUCGGUUGAUGCAGGUUUCCAUUUUUUAAU